rnacentral:rRNA from 1 species
GUCGAGCGGAUGAGUGGAGCUUGCUCCAUGAUUCAGCGGCGGACGGGUGAGUAAUGCCUAGGAAUCUGCCUGGUAGUGGGGGACAACGUUUCGAAAGGAACGCUAAUACCGCAUACGUCCUACGGGAGAAAGCAGGGGACCUUCGGGCCUUGCGCUAUCAGAUGAGCCUAGGUCGGAUUAGCUAGUAGGUGAGGUAAAGGCUCACCUAGGCGACGAUCCGUAACUGGUCUGAGAGGAUGAUCAGUCACACUGGAACUGAGACACGGUCCAGACUCCUACGGGAGGCAGCAGUGGGGAAUAUUGGACAAUGGGCGAAAGCCUGAUCCAGCCAUGCCGCGUG